AUUUUUUUGGAGGUUGGGAUGUUUGCAUCAGAGUUAGCCUGUUAGCGAGUUUACAGCUGUAUUGCAGGCAAUGUUGAGAUUAGCUAUUAGACAUGGUAGGGUUUAAAUCGGUAUAAUUGAGCUACGCGCCAAUAUAUACAAAUGGACUGCUUGGUACAUAUAUUUAGCUGAUUCAGUGCUCUUUAUAGAGUAACUGUGUUUAUCCACGAUGCCUUCGGCGAAGGUGCUGAAGAAUACCCAGUACAUAGAGCUGGGCAGUUAUCAGUACUGGCCUGUCCUUGUGCCCAGAGGCAUCCGACUGUACACUUAUGAGCAAGUGCCAGGAUUUCUGAGGGAAAAUCCGUACAUCACUGACGGCUAUAGAGCUUACCUCACCUCCAGACUGUGUAUUAAAAGUCUUUUCAUCCUUUCCAACGAGACUGUGAACAUCUGGAGUCACCUGCUCGGGUUCUUCCUGUUCUUCUCGCUGGGAGUGUACGACAUGGUGGCUGUGCUGCCUAUGGUCGGAGCCUCCAGAGAAGAUUAUGUCAUCUAUUCUAUAGGGCUUUUCUGCUUCCAGGUGUGCAUGCUGUGCUCAGUGGGAUAUCACCUGUUCUGCUGUCAUCGCUCGGAAAAAACCAGCCGGCGCUGGAUGGCACUGGACUACGCAGGGAUAUCUAUUGGAACGUUGGGCUGCUACGUCCCAGGUGUCUUCUAUGCCUUCUACUGCAAUAACUACUGGCGGCAAGUGUAUCUGGUUAUGGUCCUGGCAAUGACACUAGCGGAGUUCUUUGCCCAGAUACACCCCCUUUACUUGACUAAGAAGUGGCAGAAGCUGCGCUCAGUCAUCUUCUCUUCUGUAGUGGCGUAUGGCCUCAUCCCAACCAUCCACUGGAUCUGGCUUAGUGGAGGUUUCAGCUCAGAAAUAGUGCAGGACUUUAUUCCCAGAGUGUUCAUAAUGUAUUUGCUUGCUGCAGUUGCCUUCAUCUUUUAUAUCUCCAAAGUUCCAGAGCGCUACUUUCCAGGUCAGCUGAAUUACAUUGGCUCCAGCCACCAGAUUUGGCACAUAUUGGUGGUAUUCAUGUUUUACUGGUGGCAUCAGUCUGCACUGUUUCUUACUAACUACAGACACACACACCCCUGCCCUGACUACCUCCAGCAUGCUUAGGGCAGAAAGAUCCGCUCUGAGAAAGCAGCACAACUGGAAUAUAAAUCAUGAGAUUGUUUACCGCACAGCUUUUUUUUGUCAAGUGAUUGUAUUUCAGGGACAUCAGAUUACACUACGAUGACUACCCACGUAUUACACAGGGCUGUUUAUCUGAGGUCAGCAGAUGCUCAACUGGCUGCGGUGUUGUCUGUCCAUGUUAUAUGAAAAUUAAUAAUCGAGUCAGACUAUGCAUUUCAUUCGGCUCAUGACCACAUGACUCAAGUGCUUCUUUAUACCUGUGGAUUGUAAACGAUGUAUUAGGAUUGGCUGAUGGAUAAGUACAGCGUCAGCUAUUCUGUUCAUGCUUAUUAAUGUACGAUGUAAUUUCAAACCAUCCUGCUCAAAAACAACUGCGAAGUUCAACCACGUACAAAGACGAAGCGGUAGAAUUAAAGCACUGAAAACUAGCGUGUGGUAAAUAAUGAGUUAUUCAUUUGGAUCGAUGUUUGUUUUCCUUUACCAUGCACCAACUGCUUUGAGAACUAAUUUUCUAAGAUGCACAGAAUUCUUAAGAUUUUAACCCUUUAUUUUGUAAUUACACAAACUGUUAAUACCAACAUGGCAUUACUUAAUAACUGACUAAAAGGAACAGUGUUCUGAAACCAAUUCAAUUUCCUGGACUGAGACUUAGUAAGAAAUAAAACAUGAUGGGACAUGCACUUAUAGGAAAAGAAUCAGUGAUGGGGUGGUGUGAUGCAGCUGGAUGUGAACUGUUACCACCCCAAAGUUGAUGAUUUUCCAAUAGGAGCAUGUCCUGAAAUGCUUUAUUCCUCUUAUACCACAGCAUUUUUUCCCCCCACAACUGAUUUUUUAAAAUAUAUUAAUGGAGGACAUGUACAAUUUAAUGGACUACAUUUAUGUUUAACACUGGUGAACGUCCGUUUCAUUACGUUAUAGUGGACAAACAGUCGCUCACUCACCAGUCUCUCCUUUUUCUCCCUCUUGAAGUUAAUAAGCAAAAAAAAAAAAAAAAAAAAAAGUUAAAAUGGUUGACCCAGAGGAUUCCUGUCCAUGAAUGCUAAAUAACCAUCUCAUAGAAAACGUCACCGUAUUAGUGAUUAUACAUUUUAAAACCUGUUUAAACGUCCCUGUGAACGACCUACUAUAGAAGUUACUACGGAAACAAUAACGUAUUGGAACGAGCACAUUAAAAUAAACCUGGGAUUUAACUUAAAGUCGAAUCAGAUUUGAGAAUUCAACAGCGCCGUGGUAUAAGUGAACUUAAUGCUCAACAUUAUUAUUUUUUUUUUUUAUUGAUGUAAGAGAUAAAGACAGCCAUGCUCAUCAUGUCACAAACAUCUUGAUUAUGUGGUAUAGAGUUCAGACCAGAAGACACUGGAACUUUUAAUUCAAACAAAAUCAACAAAAGUGCAUAUUGCUUUUUAAUAGUUUUUUAUUCAUCAUUAGCAGUUUGUAAAGAAAUACAUCGUUAUACAUUAUGAUACAUGAGCAUUUACAUUUCUGUCUUAUGAGAACAGAACAUUCUGAACAUCUUAUUCAACUAUGCUUAUAUAUAAAUGUAUGAAAAGCCUAUUGACCUAUAUUUCUGCUAUACUUUUAUAAAUAUUUGGCCCAGGAAGCAUCUUGGACUCCCAAAAGCACCACAGCACAUUAACCUUAGAUGGCAGAAUGGUUGUAUUACAUUAAUUCUCCCAUCAUGAUUGUUGGUGUGCUACAACAUAUUCAGAAUUAUAGCCACACUGCACCAACAAAACGUAUCAUCUAACACUGGAAGCUGAGUGGCUACAAUAAACUAAUCCCUUAGGCUAAACUAUACCCCUAUUUUCAGAGACAACAUGAUAACAUAGAACAGAGUUAACACCUACUAAUGAAGGAAGUCUACAAAACAGCCCUUUUACAAUCUAAAAUUACACUUGCUUUUAACUACCAUGGCAACGUACCUUGUUUGUUCUUAUGUGCAUGCAUGUUUCUAAUGUAAAAUAUGGCUCAGAUCAGAUCCCCACCCCCCCUAAAAUUCAAAAUGUCCCACUGAACCAAGAUGUCUCUGAGAAUGGCUGUCUUUAUCUAAUACAUCAUCAGAUAGUAGACAGGCAAAUAAAACAUGUACCAGUCAUGUCCUGAUGAUGGUCAGAACUGAAGUAAACAAUGAGAUGAAUGAAUAAUAAUAAUAAUAAAAAUAAAAAGAUUAGGAAGCUAGAACAUGGACUGUCCAAAUUUGUCAACUUACCUUUGGUUAAACAAAAAGCAAAAGCAAAAGACGUGAUACUUUAGAGGUCCCGUUUUCUGCACACAGUUUAUAUCCAGCAUGGGUUUUCAAUAAAGAAACCCCAAUACAAUUUAAUCCAAGAGCAACCUUAAUCUGUGCUCAGAAAACCAAUCUUACAUACAUGGUCAGUUUAUUAAUGACUAUAAUUGUAUGUCAAACAAUACAUACAAACAUACAACAUAUCAGCCACUUUAUUAGGAACACCUGUACACCUGGUCUUCCAUUCAGUUAUCUAAUCAGCCAAUCAUGUCGCAGCAGCACAAUGCAUACGCUCAUGCAGUCACAGGUCAAAAGCUUCAGUUAAUGUUCAUAUCAAAUACCCGAAUGGGGGAAAUGUGAUCAGAGUGACUUUAACUGUGGCAGGAUUGUUGGUGCCGGACAAACUGGUUUGAAUAUUUCAGAAACUGUUUAUCUGGGAUUUUCACACCCUACAGUCUCCAGACACAGGUCUACACAGAAUGGUGUGAAAAACAAAACAAAAAAAAUAAAUAAGACAUCCACUGAGCAGCAGUUCUGUGGGCAGAAGCGCCUUUGAUGAGAGAGGUUAGAGACAAAUGAUCAGACCGUUUCAAGCUAACAGGAAGGCUACUGUAUCUCAAAUAACCACUCGUAGUGAUAUUCAUGGUGAGAAGAAAAGCAUCUCAGAAUGCACGUUGAACCCUGUGUCUGAGCCUGUGUCCAUUGUAGCCUCAUAUUUGUUCAUGGCUUACAUGACUGGAACCCAAUGUGG